rnacentral:other from 1 species
GUUUCAGACGUACCCUUGUGCGGUUGAAGG